rnacentral:rRNA from 1 species
UACGGAGGGUGCAAGCGUUAAUCGGAAUUACUGGGCGUAAAGCGCACGCAGGUGGCUGAGUCAGUCGAUUGUGAAAGCCCUGGGCUUAACCUGGGAAUUGCAGUCGAUACUACUCAGCUAGAGUAUGGGAGAGGGUAGUGGAAUUCCCGGUGUAGCGGUGAAAUGCGUAGAUAUCGGGAAGAACACCAGUGGCGAAAGCGCUCUACUGGGCCAUAACUGACACUGAGGGACGAAAGCUAGGGGAGCGAAAGGG